rnacentral:rRNA from 1 species
GACGAACGCUGGCGGCGUGCCUAAUACAUGCAAGUAGGACGCAGUUGCGAACGGGUGAGUAACGCGUAGGUAACUACCUAUUAGAGGGGGAUAACUAUUGGAAACGAUAGCUAAUACCGCAUACUAGUAGAUGGACCUGCGUUGUAUUAGCUAGUAGGUAGGGUAAUGGCCUACCUAGGCAACGAUAAAUAGCCGACCUGGGUGGGUGCACGGCCACACUGGGACUGAGACACGGGCCAGACUUCUUCGGGAGGCAGCAGUAGGGAAUCAUCGGCAAUGGGGGGAAACCUUACCGAGCAACGGCGCCUGAGUGAAGAAGGUUUUCGGGUCGUAAAGCUCUGUUGUGAAGGAAGCGGUACUUAACCAGAAAGGGACGGCUAACUACGUGCCAGCAGCCGCGGUAAUAC